rnacentral:rRNA from 1 species
AACGAACGCUGGCGGCAGGCCUAACACAUGCAAGUCGAACGCCCUAGCAAUAGGGAGUGGCAGACGGGUGAGUAACACGUGGGAACCUUCCCUAUAGUACGGAAUAUACCAGGGAAACUUGGAGCAAAUACCGUAUACGCCCGAAAGGGGAAAGAUUUAUCGCUAUAGGAUGGGCCCGCGUAGGAUUAGCUAGUUGGUGAGGUAACGGCUCACCAAGGCGACGAUCCUUAGCUGGUUGAGAGAACGACCAGCCACACUGGGACUGAGACACGGCCCAGACUCCUACGGGAGGCAGCAGUGGGGAAUAUUGGACAAUGGGCGGCAAGCCUGAUCCAGCCAUGCCGCGUGAGUGAUGAAGGCCUUAGGGUUGUAAAGCUCUUUUGCCGGGACGAUAAUGACGGUACCCGGAGAAUAAGUCCCGGCUAAC